rnacentral:piRNA from 1 species
UCAACAACUGUGUGAUGUGUAAGAAAGU